AGAGUUGGCCGAGCAGCCGCCGUUUCAUGUAAAUGAAAGGGAGGAAAGUCCGGGCUCCAUAGGGCAGGGUGCCAGGUAAUGCCUGGGAGGUGUGAACCUACGGAAAGUGCCGCAGAGAAUAUACCGCCUGGUUUUUUAUUAAACCCGGUAAGGGUGAAAAGGUGCGGUAAGAGCGCACCGCGCGACUGGUAACAGGCGUGGCAGGGAAAACCCCACCCGGAGCAAGAUCAAAUAGAGGCACAUACGCGUGGCCCGCGCGGUGUCUGGGUAGAUUGCUUGAGCGUUCGGGUGACCGAACGCCUAGAUGAAUGGCUGUUCUCGACAGAACCCGGCUUACAGGCCAACUCUUUCU
rnacentral:RNase_P_RNA from 1 species